CAGCAGCCCCCACGGGAAUGGCAGAGGAGCAGGGCCUAACGAGACAGGAGGAUCUAGGCGAUUGCGCAGGUGGGGCCCGGGCCUCCGCCUCAGGUGGCACCAGGGGGCCUGGAGCAGCCGCGGCUUCGCCCUGACUGUGAGGAGAGGCCUCACACGCAGGCCAAGUGUAUUGGCUUUGUGAAGAGGACUUCCCAGGGCCCAGACCGAGUUGGGGACUGUGGUGCGAACCAUGCUGCUGCCGGGUCUCUGAGUCCCUGGUGCAGGUGAUUGCGGGGUGGAACGUUGAAGCAGGUACUGAUCCUGCUCUGGUCCGUGGGGCUGUGGAAAAAUCAUUUUCAGUAUUUCUGGUCUCUUCUGGAAGACCUUCGCUAACAGCAAAUUCUCAUCUUGGACGAUGUCACGCGGCUGUCGUGGGACUGUGUCCCCAAAGCAGCAGUGAGGAAAAAACGGGCCCAGUAGUGGCGAGACCUCGGCCCUGGCCCUACCACUAGGAAGACACUCUACAAGUCAAGCUGGCACUGGUUAAAUUAUAAGAUACACUACAAUCUCGUUCCCUGACCUCUUGAAGGUUUUGUUGAUAAAGGAAAAACGUAAACAUACAAGUAAACACAUCUUGAGUUCAAAACAGAAGAAGUCAACCCUUUUGGUUUGGAAUUUGUCAAAAUUAGGCUGUAUUUACAGCCAUGAGAAUUGGUGAGUAAAUCAAGAAAGAGAAUUUAGAAUAAAAAGGCUUAAGACUUUUCCCUGAUGAAGACCAACACUUAGAGGACAGACAAAUGAGGAGGAAUUGAGGAAAUGUGGAAGCCCAUCUUACCAACACAAAUAAAC
rnacentral:lncRNA from 10 species